UUUUACUCGAACUCACAGGGAUCUGCCUGCUUCUGUCUCCCAAGUGCUGGUAUUAAAGGUGCUGCCCUUUUUCAUCCCAUUCCUUCUUUCUAGAGCAUUUCGGCACCAAUCACAUUUGUACAGCUCAUUUUCCUGCUUGAUAUUUUUUUUAUUACAAAUGAGCUUCUUAGUUUCUGGAGGUCCCAUUUAUCAAUUGUAGUUCUCAG